UACGGAGGGGGCGAGCGUUGCUCGGACUUACUGGGCGUAAAGGGUCCGUAGGUGGCUCUAUAAGUUAGAUGUGAAAUCUUAGGGCUUAACCCUGAAAUUGCAUCUAAAACUGCAGAGCUGGAGUUCGGAAGAGGUUGGCGGAAUUCCCGGUGUAGCGGUGAAAUGCGUAGAUAUCGGGAGGAACAUCUGUGGCGAAGGCGGCCAACUGGUCCGAUACUGACACUGAGGGACGAAAGCGUGGGGAGCGAACCGG
rnacentral:rRNA from 1 species